GACGAACGCUGGCGGCGUGCUUAACACAUGCAAGUCGAACGGAAAGGCCCUGCUUUUGUGGGGUGCUCGAGUGGCGAACGGGUGAGUAACACGUGAGUAACCUGCCCUUGUCUUUGGGAUAACUUCAGGAAACUGGGGCUAAUACCGGAUAGGAGCUCCUGCUGCAUGGUGGGGGUUGGAAAGUUUCGGCGGUUGGGGAUGGACUCGCGGCUUAUCAGCUUGUUGGGGGGGUAGUGGCUUACCAAGGCUUUGACGGGUAGCCGGCCUGAGAGGGUGACCGGCCACAUUGGGACUGAGAUACGGCCCAGACUCCUACGGGAGGCAGCAGUGGGGAAUAUUGCACAAUGGGCGGAAGCCUGAUGCAGCAACGCCGCGUGCGGGAUGACGGCCUUCGGGUUGUAAACCGCUUUCGCCUGUGACGAAGCGUGAGUGACGGUAAUGGGUAAAGAAGCACCGGCUAACUACGUG
rnacentral:rRNA from 1 species